rnacentral:rRNA from 1 species
GUGCGAACGUUGUUCGGAAUCACUGGGCUUAAAGGGCGCGUAGGCGGCCGGGUUGGUCGUGGGUGAAAUCCCCCAGCUUAACUGGGGAACUGCCUACGAUACUGCCUGGCUCGAGGGAGGAAGGGGCGGUCGGAACUGUCGGUGGAGCGGUGAAAUGCGUUGAUAUCGACAGGAACGCCGGUGGCGAAAGCGGACCGCUGGCCCUCUUCUGACGCUGAGGCGCGAAAGCCAGGGGAGCGAACGGG